rnacentral:pre_miRNA from 1 species
GGUAAGGAAUCCUGCAGCAACCACGAGACAACUUUCAACUCCAUCAUGAAGUGUGACGUGGACAUCUGCAAGGACCUGUAUGCC